rnacentral:lncRNA from 1 species
CCCAGCUAAUUUUUGUAUUUUUAGUAAAGAUGGGGUUUUACCAUUUCGUCCAGGCUGGUCUUGAACUCCUGACCUCAGGUUAUCUGCCAACCUCGGCCUCCUAAAAUGCUGGGAUUACAGUUGUGAGCCACCACGCCAUGCCAUGCACAAGGAAUUUCAAGACAUCCCCAUUUACUGUGUCCCCUUAUGUGUCUGUGCCUUUGCCGAUUUCUUCCACAUUCAAUCUCUAUCCUCCUUUCUCUAUCUGCUGAAUGAUUUUUUCUUCAAGAACUAAUUGAAAUGUCACUUCCUCCACCCUCAGAUAAUUAGUUCCUUCCUCCUCGGAAGGGGAGUUGGUGACAUUCCUGUGUAUCUGCUUGCACAGUGUAUUCCCCAUGACGUUUUAUGCUAAACCUGUCCUGUCCUGACCCUUUCUGCCCUAUCACAGCAAACCUGUAAUAAUUGCAUGCAUUUCUGAAUGCAUAUUUACUUAAUAUUUUUCAUAAUUAAUUUUGGAAUUUCUAACACUAAAUGCAUCACCUACUCUGAACUUUAAACAGACAAUAAUAAAUUUGUAUAACACUGUAGAUUCUGAAUUAACUGUAUCAGAUAUUAUGUUAAGAACUAAUAUAUAUUGCAUAGUCUACAUCUAGUGAUAAGGACUGAAACUGGAGAAAUAGUUCUGAGAAACUAUAUAGAACAGUGAUGAACAUUUAAAAAUAAAAUCAAAUUGAGUCUUCAACUAAAAGAGACUUCUGAAUCAAAGAAGGCAGAUGGAAAAUACGAAAGAAAGAAAAGAAUAGAAUUUUUAAAAGAGGCAAAGUAAUUACAGGUAGUGCAGAAUGUGGACAAAUGGCAAGCCCUAAUCAUUAAGGUAGGCAUAAGAUGAGACACACAUGGGACAUAAAAUUGUGAUUCACAAUCAACUGGCUUUGUGAGAUAUCAAAUACUAUUUAAAGAGCUGAUUAAGUGGAUUGACGUUUAAGAACAAAAAACUACAAGAACUCCUGACCUCAGGUAAUCCACCCGCCUCGGCCUCCCAGAGCGCUGGGAUUACAGGAGUGAGCUACUGCACCUGGCCAUCCCCCAUUCCUUUAAACUAGAGAUUUGGGCAAAGCUUAUGUGACAGGAGAAAAGAGAGCUAAUUCUGACUGUGUGAAACAUGUAAAUUUUCACUGCACUAAAACCACAGCGUUUUAGUUCAUCGAAUGCUUAAUGGUAUUCCUACAAGAUUUGUCAGACUUAGCUGGAUUUUUGCUGAUUUUCAUAUCACAGCUUUUAAGAGAUAAGUCACCUUCAAUAACUUUCACAUUUACACAAUCAUCCAAAUUUAGGAGCAUUCAUUUUAUGCACAGCUUUUGUUUGCUCUAUUCCAUAGUCGUCUUUAACACUAUCAGUUGACAGUCAUUAAACGGAGCCCAAAAGGUCAAUUGCUUUUUAUGAAGAAAGGAAAUAUUGUAAACUACAAAUCACUUACCCAUUUAAGAACUUAGGAUUUUCAUUAGAUUUCCUUAAACCAAAUCAACCUAUUUGUUGAGCAUCUAAAUUAUGUUA